CUCGGUGACGAUGGCGGAGAGGUCACACCCGUUCCCAUCCCGAACACGGAAGUUAAGCUCUCCA
rnacentral:rRNA from 1 species